AUUGAACGCUGGCGGCAUGCUUUACACAUGCAAGUCGAACGGUAACAGGUUAAGCUGACGAGUGGCGAACGGGUGAGUAAUGCAUCGGAACGUGCCCGGUCGUGGGGGAUAACGCAGCGAAAGCUGCGCUAAUACCGCAUACGAUCUGAGGAUGAAAGCGGGGGACCGUAAGGCCUCGCGCGAUCGGAGCGGCCGAUGUCAGGUUAGGUAGUUGGUGGGGUAAAGGCUCACCAAGCCGAAGAUCUGUAGCUGGUCUGAGAGGACGACCAGCCACACUGGGACUGAGACACUGCCCAGACUCCUACGGGAGGCAGCAGUGGGGAAUUUUGGACAAUGGGCGCAAGCCUGAUCCAGCAAUGCCGCGUGCAGGAAGAAGGCCUUCGGGUUGUAAACUGCUUUUGUACGGAGCGAAAAGGCUCUCUCUAAUACAGGGGGCUCAUGACGGUACCGUAAGAAUAAGCACCGGCUAACUACGUGCCAGCAGCCGCGGUAA
rnacentral:rRNA from 1 species